AGUCAGAGCCGGCACCUGCACGGCCGCAUCUUCCUUCCUCCGUCCUCCCCGUGAAAGCUUCCACUUCCGCAGCGGCGGCGGCGGCGGCGGCGACUGCGAUUAGAGGAGUCGGAAGCCGCUGCACGUGGGGGAGAGAUGGAGUACAGGAAAGCCAAGGAUCAGGUAAACCUAGAACUCUGCAACCCCAAUCUCCCCCACCUGUCAACGAGGUCACCACCCAACUAACCCCACCACUAAACCCAAAGAGGUCAGCCAUCACUUUGGUCUCGUCUCACCCCGCCGCCGCCGCAGCGACACAGACCCCCUCCCCACCCCACCACACACAAUGGCGGCGGCGACCUCCUCCUCCCCCUCCGCCCGCUGGGAAAGGACCAGAACCAGAUCCUGGGCCUGGUCCGCCCGCCCUUCGCUCGUCUCCCUCCGCUCCGGAGCCCUGCUCAGGGUCCGCGCCGCCGCCGAACCCGCCCCGGCCUUCCAGUCCGUGACGGCCUUCGCGCCCGCCACCGUGGCCAACCUCGGCCCGGGCUUCGACUUCCUCGGUUGCGCCGUCGCCGACGCCUCCCUCUCCCUCGGCGACACGGUGACGGUCACCCUGGACCCAACCCUACCCCCCGGCACCGUCUCCAUCGCCUCCGUCACCUCCCCGUCCCGCCCCCACCUCGCCGCCCGCCUCUCCAAGGACCCGCUCCGUAACUGCGCGGGCGUGGCCGCCAUCGCGGCGCUCCGCGCCCUCGGCGUCCGGUCACACGCCGUGUCCAUCCAGCUGACCAAGGGCCUGCCGCUGGGCUCGGGCCUGGGCUCCUCCGCGGCUUCCGCCGCCGCCGCCGCCAAGGCCGUGGACGCCCUCUUCGGGUCGCGCCUCGGGCGCGACGACCUCGUCCUGGCGGGCCUCGAGUCCGAGAAGGCCGUCAGCGGCUUCCACGCCGACAACAUCGCGCCUGCCAUCCUUGGCGGCUUCGUCCUGGUGCGCAGCUACGAGCCCUUUCACCUGGUCCCGCUGGCCUCCCCGCCGGGCCUCCGCCUCCACCUGGUCCUGGUGACCCCCGACUUCGAGGCGCCCACGAGCAAGAUGCGCGCGGCGCUGCCCAAAAAGGUGGGCGUGCAGCAGCACGUGCGCAACUCGAGCCAGGCGGCAGCGCUGGUAGCGGGCGUGCUGCAGGGGGACGCAGGGCUGAUCGGUUCCGCCAUGUCGUCGGACGGCAUCGUGGAGCCGAGCAGGGCGCCCCUGAUACCUGGCAUGGCGGCCGUGAAGGCGGCGGCGCUGCAGGCCGGGGCGCUGGGGUGCACCAUAAGCGGGGCGGGGCCCACGGCGGUGGCGGUGAUCGACGGCGAGGAGAAGGGUGAGGAGGUUGGCGGCAGGAUGGUGGAUGCCUUCUGGAGCACAGGCAAGCUCAAGGCAACAGCAACCGUCGCUCAGCUCGAUAGGCAUGGUGCCAGGGUCAUCGCCACAACUGCUCUCAGCUAGCUUCCUUUGUUGUGGGUUGUGCGGCAGGCAGGCAGGCAGCAGCUUAGAAACCAUUUUUUUUUUGCUUGGCUUGGUUGCAAUAAGAGGAGAGUUAGUGCUGCAAUUAGGAACACUACUCAUAUUGGUGGUUUGUGUUGUACUACUAAGGCUCUGUUUGUUUCCAGAGGACUAAACUUUAGACUUAUCACAUCAAAGAGAAUCUUGCUAUUUAGCAGUAUUAAAUAAAGUCUAAUUACAAAACUUAGGAACUGCUUUUGGAUUUGUUUUGGAGAUUGGCGUGCGCUCUUGUGUGGAGCGGGCUUUCUGAUACAAUGAACGGCAAGGAUUUAGAAAGAAUUACUUACUGUGACUGUGAGUCUAUGAUUAUCUCUGUUGAUUACUUAGAAAUUCAGUAAACCACAACCACACAUUUAAAGUACACGGCACAUCUAUGAGCAUAUUUUGGCUCAUUUGUUUGGUUCCAAGGUUCAACAUCAUGUUUCUCAUCCAGGUACGCCUGUUUCCCUGUCUGUAACUGUUGAAUCUAGCAGAUGAUAUGUUGGCAUUAACAUGGGCCAGUGAGUGACUGUUCGGCCAACUUGUUACCAAUUUGGCUGAUGGCUGGCUUUGAAGCAUUCCUAUUUCCUAGCCAUUUGUACACUUGUCGUAUCUUUUGAGCCAUCUGUGUCUCAUCCUUUGUUUGGUAAUUGUGUGCCUAUUAUCAUGUACUAGCAGUUGAACUGUGGCAGUCCAGCAUUAUUUAAACAUCUAAUUCAACUAAAUUUUCUUCUGUACCUUUUACCGUGUUGGUAGUUGCCAUUGAUCACACAUAAAGUCAAUUUAACUUGCUUUCCUGCGUUUGUUUAAAAUUAGUGAUACAAUCAUCAUGUGCUCAUCAACAGAGAGUGCACUGACAAGCUGUGUUUUAUCUGUACCAUCUAAAAGGAGAGUGAUGACAUAUCUCAGAAGGACGUAGAAAGCCUUGAUAUGAGGUCUCUGUCUCAUACUUCAGCAACUUCGAGUCUUAGCACUGCAGGAGGACCAAAGGGCAAGAAUACUUGGAAGCUCAAGUCCAUUGUUACACUUGCAUUGACAUUACUAACAAGUUCCCAGGCAAUAUUGAUUGUGUGGUCGAAAAGAGCUGGAAAGUAUGAAUAUAGUGUCACAACAGCAAAUUUUUCGGUGGAAUUUUUGAAAUGUCUAUUAUCGUUUCUAGCCUUGUACAGAACAUGGAACAGUCAAGGCAUUACCGAAGAUAAUAGGUUAACUACAUCAUUCGAUGAAGUUAGUGUUUACCCCAUUCCUGCUAUACUUUACAUGGUGAAGAACUUAUUGCAGUAUUAUAUCUUUGCAUAUGUGGAUGCGCCAACUUACCAGAUCCUGAAAAACCUGAAUAUUAUCAGCACCGGUGUCUUAUACCGUAUCAUUCUAAAGAAAAAGUUGAGUGAAAUACAGUGGGCUGCAUUUAUUCUCUUAUGUGCUGGUUGCACUACUGCUCAGCUCAAUCCUUCGUCAGAUCAUGUUCUCCAGACCCCUAUUCAAGGUUGGAUGAUGGCAAUUGGGAUGGCUCUUUUAAGUGGUUUUGCUGGUGUAUAUACAGAAGCUAUUAUCAAGAAACGUCCUUCAAGGAAUAUUAACGUGCAGAAUUUUUGGCUAUACAUUUUUGGGAUGCUCUUCAACUUAGUUGCGAUUUGUGUUCAGGACUUUGGCGCUGUGAUUAAUAAAGGCUUUUUUCAUGGCUACUCGUUUAUUACAAUUCUGAUGAUUCUUAACCACGCACUCAGUGGAAUUGCUGUAUCAAUGGUGAUGAAGUAUGCUGACAAUAUUGUCAAGGUGUAUUCUACUUCAGUUGCAAUGCUUCUUACAGCAAUCGUAUCCGUCUUCUUAUUCAGCUUCCAUCUAUCCCUUGCAUUCUUCCUUGGAUCUACGGUUGUUUCUGUCUCUGUGUAUCUGCACUCCGUUGGGAAACCUCAGCAGCAGAAAUAGCGUUCUGUUCAUCCAUCGAGCAACUGACAGUUGGCACCAUCCAUGCUGCAUCUUGGAAUGAAUUGAGUGGCGAUGCAAGGCCGUUGCACAAAAGAAACCGGAUUCAUUAUUGAUCGUCAAUGUACUGCAGUCAAGUUCUGAUGGAGUUAACUCUGAUGUACCAACGUCGGUGCGGCCUUGAAACACCGAAUUGCCGCCAAACGUUGACAUGCAGCUUCAGUACUGACUCAGCUCUUCUUCUAUGUGACCUGUAAGGCUGUAACGAAUAUAUUUUCAGCUCCCUUAGGCGUGGAGGGGAUUAUUUUGUAAACUGUUUACCAACACCCAUUGUCCCAGUGGAAAAGUUAUGGUAAUGUUACAAGGGUUUUCUUCCUA